GCUUUUUAUUUUUUAAAUCUUAGAAGCAGUGGUGAGGGUGUUGUUGUCUAUUAAUCACCUGUGUUGUUAUGUGCAGAUGCUGCUGGGAUCUCAAUGGACAGAUUCAAUCUGGAGGUCAGCUUGCAGAGCAUGUUGCCACAUCCAGAGGCCAAAGAGGUACAGAAAGCCAUCCAGCAAGGACCCCAGCCUGCUCCUCUAGAAGCUUUUCUGGCCAGCAUCCCUCCUGGGUAGAUGGAGCCCUUGCAUCGGCUUGGGAGACCUAGAUGUGAUUCCUGCCUCUUCAAAGGCAAUUUGGAGGCUCUAGGAGAACACAGGCUACCUUGCGAAGUCCAUCCUGUGACUGGAAAAAAACAACGUUCUUUGCCAUUCAAAUCAGAAUGUGCCACAUGCAGCAUUUCCCCAGGGGAUACAGCCAGCAGAUGCAUUGGCAAGCUCCUGCAAACCACAUUUGACAAAAUAAAUGCUCGCAAAACUGAUCAUAACCACUCAGAACCAUUCAACUUUGCCUGCAAAACCAGAGAGGCUCUGAGACUUGUCUAAGAUCACACAGGAAAUCUGCAAAGCGGGCAAUUGUAUUAAUGUCCCCCCCUCAUAGGAUAGUGCUGUAACAUCCUUGAAUAAAAGCAGUAUAAGGAAGGCAACACUUAAAUGUCUGCCCUACUGGGAAGGGAGAAUAGAGGCUUGAAUGUCUGUGGUUAAAGAAAAGGGGGGCAGGGGAAUGAAUUAUCUGUUUCCUUCUGUGUUCACAAAUUACCUAGAGAAUAUCAGGAGGUCACAGAUUGGGGGAAUUCUUCUUAAUGCUGAGACUGUUCUCUUAAUGUCAUGGUUGUGUUUUGCACGUCAACAUCAAAUACUAUGCGGAAAAAUUAUUCUGUUUAGAAAAGCAUCAAAAGCUGUCUUCAAAGAAUAAUGCAUCAUGAUCGUGUAAAUGCUCUGGCAUUUUUGAUGUUGCCUUCUUACUCAUUAGACUUUAAUGAUGUGAUGAGCGACUUUUUGUCUAUGAAAAGUUGCAGAAUUCUAACUUUCUAAGCAGCUUGUCUCUCAGUAAUGUCUAUUUUUGGUAGUCCUCCCUGUUGCUUUAUAUUUUGCAUGUAUGCUUUUAAGCCAUUUUUUGUACAAAGUGAGGGCUUUUAUUUUUGCUGGGCAAACACUCCUAAUUUACAAAUUCUGCAGACUUUGUCUAUUUACAAAUCAAAUGGAUGAGUUAAAUUGGAUUGGGACAAUGAACACCCAAGGGAUGGUAGAUGAUGCCAUCUUCUGAAGCGUAGCCUUCAUCUGGCUUAGCUGCAUUGGCUUGGUGUAACAAAUCAGCUCUGUUUAC